rnacentral:hammerhead_ribozyme from 1 species
AUCCAGCUGACGAAUCCCAAAUAGGAUGAGACGCGCAUCCUGGAU